rnacentral:rRNA from 1 species
UACGUAGGGGGCAAGCGUUGUCCGGAAUCAUUGGGCGUAAAGAGCGUGUAGGCGGCCCGGUAAGUCCGCUGUAAAAGUCAAAGGCUUAACCUUUGAAUGUCAGUGGAUACUGCCGGGCUAGAGUCCGGAAGAGGCGAGUGGAAUUCCUGGUGUAGCGGUGAAAUGCGCAGAUAUCAGGAGGAACACCAAUUGCGAAGGCAGCUCGCUGGGACGUUACUGACGCUGAGACGCGAAAGCGUGGGGAGCAAACAGG